rnacentral:rRNA from 1 species
UGGGGAAUAUUGGUCAAUGGGAGGAAUCCUGAACCAGCCAUGCCGCGUGCAGGACGACGGCUCUACGAGUUGUAAACUGCUUUUGUACCGGGGUAAAAUGCUCUACGAGUAGGGUUUUGAAAGUACGGUACGAAUAAGGAUCGGCUAACUCCGUGCCAGCAGCCGCGGUAAUACGGAGGAUCCGAGCGUUAUCCGGAUUCAUUGGGUUUAAAGGGUGCGUAGGUUGUUUUAUAAGUUAGCGGUGAAAUACCGAUGCUCAACAUCGGGGCUGCCGCUAAUACUGUAGGACUAGAGAUCGGAUGCAGCAGGCGGAAUGUGUAGUGUAGCGGUGAAAUGCAUAGAUAUUACACAGAACACCGAUUGCGAAGGCAGCCUGCUAGGCCGGAUCUGACACUGAUGCACGAAAGCGUGGGGAUCGAACAGGAUUAGAUACCC